rnacentral:rRNA from 1 species
GCUUUACCAUGCAAGUCGAACGGCAGCACGGGAGCUUGCUCCUGGUGGCGAGUGGCGAACGGGUGAGUAAUAUAUCGGANCGUGUCCAAUAAUGGGGGAUAACUAUCCGAAAGGAUAGCUAAUACCGCAUACGCCCUGAGGGGGAAAGUGGGGGAUCUUCGGACCUCACGUUAAUGGAGCGGCCGAUAUCUGAUUAGCUAGUUGGUGGGGUAAAGGCCCACCGAGGCGACNAUCAGUAGCUGGUCUGAGAGGACGACCAGCCACACUGGGACUGAGACACGGCCCAGACUCCUACGGGAGGCAGCAGUGGGGAAUUUUGGACAAUGGGGGCAACCCUGAUCCAGCCAUGCCGCGUGAGUGAAGAAGGCCUUCGGGUUGUAAAGCUCUUUCGCAAGGGAAGAAACGAUGCANACGAAUNAUCUGCGUUNAUGACNNGUACCUUGAUAAGAAGCACCGGCUAACUACGUGCCAGCAGCCGCGGUAAUACGUANGGUGCGAGCGUUUAUCGGAAUUACUGGGCGUAAAGCGAGCGCAGGCGGGUCUGCAAGUCAGAUGUGAAAUCCCCGGGCUCAACCUGGGAACUGCG